UACGUAGGGUGCGAGCGUUGUCCGGAAUUAUUGGGCGUAAAGAGCUUGUAGGCGGUUUGUCGCGUCUGCUGUGAAAAUCCGGGGCUCAACCCCGGACUUGCAGUGGGUACGGGCAGACUAGAGUGUGGUAGGGGAGACUGGAAUUCCUGGUGUAGCGGUGAAAUGCGCAGAUAUCAGGAGGAACACCAAUGGCGAAGGCAGCUCACUGGGACGGUAUUGACGCUGAGACGCGAAAGCGUGGGGAGCAAACAGG
rnacentral:rRNA from 1 species